rnacentral:tRNA from 1 species
CAAAUUAGAGCUUAAAAUAAGUAUUUCGUUUACAUCGAAAAGAUAUUGAUGAACAAUUGAUUUGA